rnacentral:rRNA from 1 species
AUUGAACGCUGGCGGCAGGCCUAACACAUGCAAGUCGAGCGGAAGAAGGGAGCUUGCUCCUGGAUUCAGCGGCGGACGGGUGAGUAAUGCCUAGGAAUCUGCCUGGUAGUGGGGGAUAACGUCCGGAAACGGGCGCUAAUACCGCAUACGUCCUGCGGGAGAAAGUGGGGGAUCUUCGGACCUCACGCUAUCAGAUGAGCCUAGGUCGGAUUAGCUAGUUGGUGGGGUAAAGGCCUACCAAGGCGACGAUCCGUAACUGGUCUGAGAGGAUGAUCAGUCACACUGGAACUGAGACACGGUCCAUACUCCUACGGGAGGCAGCAGUGUGGAAUAUUGGACAAUGGGCGAAAGCCUGAUCCAGCCGUGCCGCGUGUGUGAAGAAGGUCUUCGGAUUGUAAAGCACUUUAAGUUGGGAGGAAGGGCAGUAAGUUAAUACCUUGCUGUUUUGACGUUACCAACAGAAUAAGCACCGGCUAACUUCGUG